UUUUCCUACUGCCCAGUUUGAGAUGCAAUGAGUCCGGGUCUGAGGAGAUGUAAUGUCGUCAUGGGACACAGAGAAAAAAAUCCAGCAGAAGCGGCGGUGAAAACAACACCAACUGAAGAAACGGUGGCAAAGAGCCAGAAGAGAGAAGCAGCAACAAGCAUACAGCCAAGCAAGAGAGACACAGAGUUGUCCGAGAGACGAGAGCCAGCAGCAAAGAGGGAGCUAAGCUCUACAGAGACAAAGUUUGGCUGCCGGUGAUUACCCUCCUCCCGUGGAGACAGAAACACAUCUGGUGUCUGUAGAACAGCAAAGAAACAGAGAGGAGAUGAGCCAAAGCAGCCAUCCUUGGUGUGCACAGCUGCAGCAUCCUAACACUGCUGCUCCACCUGAGAGCCAUGGCUCGUGUUUGACUUUGGUUCCAGUAGUUCUCAGUUUAGUUUCUUUCUUUUUUAUACUUUAACUUUUCAUUUCUUAAUGGCAUGAGGAAGAAAUGUCUGGCACCAUGGGAGAGGAAGAGCUACCUCUGUCUCUGAGCACAGUGAGUUGGUAAAGAUUUAUUUUACUUUAUUUAUUUAAAUGACUGUUUUCUCUCCAAGUGAAUUGCCCAA